UGCCAGCAGCCGCGGUAAGACGGAGGGUGCAAACGUUGUUCGGAAUUAUUGGGCGUAAAGCGAGUGUAGGCGGUUUGAUAGGUCGGAUGUGAAAGCCCAGGGCUCAACCCUGGAACUGCGUUCGAAACUGCCUCGCUAGAGUCUCGGAGAGGAAGGCGGAAUUCCCAGUGUAGAGGUGAAAUUCGUAGAUAUUGGGAAGAACACCAGUGGCGAAGGCGGCUAACUGGCUCGGUACUGACGCUGAGAUGCGAAAGCGUGGGGAGCAAACAGGAUUAGAUA
rnacentral:rRNA from 1 species